AUGGCCUGGUGGUGGAUAGGGAGGAGUGGAUAGUGGAAGAGAGAUGUGGAGAGUAGGAUGGUGGAAGGGGGAGGUGGAGGUGGCUAUGGCGGACGUGACUGGGUUGAGGUGGUGGUUGUGGUGGUGUUUGGUAUGGUUGGAAUGGUUGUAGAGGGUGUUGGUAGUGAUGGUGAACGUGACUGGCUUAUGUUAAAGGUAGUUGUGGUUGUUGGGGAUGGUGGUGGUUGUGUGACAGUGGUGGGUGCAGCGGACGCAACGGUGUUGUGGUUGUUGGGUGUGGUUGAGGAUUGCGAUGGUGGUGGUGGUGGAGGUGAUAGGUGGCGGUGGUCGUAGUCGGAGCGGGCUAAGCGGUGGUGGUGGUGGUGUAAAAAGGUGUUUAUCGGACGGAGUGGAAGUGGUGGUGGUGGCGGUGAUACGAUUAUCAGGGAUGAGAGAGAGAGAGAGAGAGAGAGAGAGAGAGAGAAUGUGUGUGUGUGUGUGUGUGUGUGUGUGUACUCCUAUAAUCAGCAAAUUGCAGUCACUCGUUCGCUUGUUUCACCUCCCUGUUUCAGGCCUUCUCUCCCCUUCCCUUCCUCCCCGCUCCCUUCCUAACCUGCCCGCCACCCUCUCCCCGCUUUUUCCUGCCUGUCCUCCCCUGCUCCUCGUGUCCCAGGUGACCCAUGAACUACCUCUAACAAUGGUGAUGAAGAACCAGAAGUGGGUUGUAGGUGACGAGAUAACUAUCCCAGGUCAUCCCGGAAGUGGCGAGGUGACCCCAUACAGCUCCACAAGGUCGUGGAGGACACCAGACAUAGCCACGUGGUCGCCUACACUCAGCCAUCCACCUCACCUGCCCCAGACUGCUACCCGGACACCAUCCAGCCACAAGAACCCAGAUAAGCACUUCCGGGGUCCUUGGUUGUGGUUAGCUAGCUAGUUUGUUUAGGGGUCACUUGCUGUACAUAGGAACCCUCCUCGGUCUGAUGCUAUUUUUUUUAUUUUUAUUUUUGAGGUGUAACGCUGUGCUCUACGUGAGAGUGAUAGUGUUUAUCUUUAUUUAUUUAUUUUUUUUCCUGAAGACCAGUUCUGAGGUUAUCUUGGAGGUUAACGGAGAAGAGUUCUUCACAACUGUGUUUGUUGUUUUAUUUUAUUUUUUUAUUGGUCACUUUUUGUUUUUUGUUGUGAUUGUUAUUAAUUUUAUUUAUUUGUAUUGAAAUAUGUGAGUGUGAAUGCAGCACAAUAUAUAAAGGUGUGCAUUCCAGAGUGAAAGGAAGGCGUGCACAGGGUAGAGUGGACAGGAUGCAGUGCCUUGUUGUUAUCACCAGACCUUGAUUGAUUGAAGCAAAUGAAAA